rnacentral:rRNA from 1 species
UACGUAGGAGGCGAGCGUUGUCCGGAUUUACUGGGCGUAAAGAACGCGUAGGCGGUUCGUUAAGUCUGGCGUAAAAUCUCCUGGCUCAACUGGGAGGCGCGCUGGAGACUGGCAAACUGGAGGGCAUCAGAGGAAAGCGGAACUCCCGGUGUAGUGGUGAAAUGCGUAGAGAUCGGGAAGAACACCUGUGGCGAAGGCGGCAUCCUGGACCGAUACUGACGCUGAGGAGCGAAAGCCAGGGGAGCAAACGGG